rnacentral:rRNA from 1 species
UACGGGGGGGGCAAGCGUUGUUCGGAUUCACUGGGCGUAAAGGGUGCGUAGGCGGUCGGGUAAGUCUGACGUGAAAUCUCCAAGCUCAACUUGGAAAUGGCGUCGGAUACUAUUCGGCUCGAGGAAUGGAGGGGAGACUGGAAUUCUCGGUGUAGCAGUGAAAUGCGUAGAUAUCGAGAGGAACACCAGUGGCGAAGGCGAGUCUCUGGACAUUUCCUGACGCUGAGGCACGAAAGCCAGGGGAGCAAACGGG